GUACCUGUCCAUGACAGGAAGUCUUAAAUUAAAUAUACGUCUGAUAUGUUCUUAUCAGCUUGAUAUCUGAUACGUCCGCCAUUGGGGGACCAGAAUAUCGAACUGAUUUUUGAAAACAGGUGGGACGUCUGGGGCUUGCUCCGGUCCUGCCACGGGUCGGCCAUGCAUUGCAGUACCGCAAGGAUCGGCCCACACAAU